rnacentral:rRNA from 1 species
CCGAAAUGUGUUUAGGCGCAGCGGUAAUGAUUAUAGUCUGGGGGUAAAGCACUGUUUCGGUGCGGGCUGGGAGACCGGUACCAAAUCGAGACAAACUCUGAAUACCAGAUGCACCGAAAUGUGUUUAGGCGCAGCGGUAAUGAUUAUAGUCUGGGGGUAAAGCACUGUUUCGGUGCGGGCUGGGAGACCGGUACCAAAUCGAGACAAACUCUGAAUACCAGAUGCACACAUUGCCAGACAGACAGUGGGGGAUAAGCUUCAUUGUCAAGAGGGAAACAGCCCAGACCACCAGCUAAGGUCCCCAAAUCAUCGCUAAGUGAUAAAGGAGGUGAGAGUGCAUAGACAACUAGGAGGUUUGCCUAGAAGCAGCCACCCUUGAAAGAGUGCGUAAUAGCUCACUAGUCAAGCGCUCUCGCGCCGAAAAUGAACGGGGCUAAGCGAUGUACCGAAGCUGUGGGAUAUAUCUAUCGAUGUAUCGGUAGGGGAGCGUUCCGUAUUAGGUAGAAGCACUAGCGGCGAGCAGGUGUGGACGAAACGGAAGUGAGAAUGUCGGCUUGAGUAGCGCAAACAUUGGUGAGAAUCCAAUGCCCCGAAACCCUAAGGGUUCCAGAGCCAGGUUCGUCCCCUCUGGGUUAGUCAGGUCCUAAGGCGAGGUCGAACGGCGUAGUCGAUGGACAACGGGUGAAUAAUCCCGUACUCAAUUGAAUUUGUGCAGAGGGACGGAGGAGGCAAAUGUCAGCCGGAUGUUGGUUACCGGUUCAAGCGUCAAGGUGAUGAGAGUCGGUGAAAACGAUUCGAGCCAAGACGGGAGUACGACCCGAUACGUCGGGGAAGUGGCAUAGUCUGACUUCCAAGAAAAGCUCUAAACACGUUAAGUUCAGUUGACCUGUACCCGAAACCGACACAGGUAGGGUGGUUGAGAAUACUAAGGGGCGCGAGAUAACUCUCUCUAAGGAACUCGGCAAAAUGGCCCCGUAACUUCGGAAGAAGGGGUGCCCACCGUAACAAGUGGGUCGCAGUGAAGAGAUCCAGGCGACUGUUUACCAAAAACACAGGUCUCCGCAAACUCGAAAGAGAAAGUAUGGGGGCUGACGCCUGCCCAGUGCCGGAAGGUUAAGGAAGUCGGUCAGGGGGAAACCCUAAAGCUGGCGACUGAAGCCCCGGUGAACGGCGGCCGUAACUAUAACGGUCCUAAGGUAGCGAAAUUCCUUGUCGGGUAAGUUCCGACCCGCACGAAAGGCGUAACGAUCUGGAUGGUGUCUCAGAGAGAGACUCGGCGAAAUAGGAAUGUCUGUGAAGAUACGGACUGCCUGCACCUGGACAGAAAGACCCUAUGAAGCUUUACUGUAGCCUGGAAUUGUGUCCGGGCUUCGCUUGCGCAGGAUAGGUGGGAGGCGUUGAAAGUGCCCUUGUGGGGGUACUCGAGCCAACGGUGAGAUACCACUCUGGCGAAGCUAGGAUUCUAACUCACUUCCGUAAUCCGGAAGGGGAACAGUUUCAGGUGGGCAGUUUGACUGGGGCGGUCGCCUCCUAAAAGGUAACGGAGGCG